UACGUAGGGUGCGAGCGUUAAUCGGAAUUACUGGGCGUAAAGCGUGCGCAGGCGGUUUUGUAAGUCUGUCGUGAAAUCCCCCGGGCUUAACCUGGGAAUUGCGAUGGAGACUGCAAGGCUAGAAUCUGGCAGAGGGGGGUAGAAUUCCACGUGUAGCAGUGAAAUGCGUAGAGAUGUGGAGGAACACCGAUGGCGAAGGCAGCCCCCCUGGGUCAAGAUUGACGCUCAUGCACGAAAGCGUGGGGAGCAAACAGG
rnacentral:rRNA from 1 species